rnacentral:tRNA from 1 species
GCUGGCGUAGCUCAAUUGGCAGAGCACCGCUCUUGUAAAGCGGGGGUUGUAGGUUCGAUUCCUACCGCCAGCA